GACGAACGCUGGCGGCGUGCUUAACACAUGCAAGUCGAACGCUGAAGCACCAGCUUGCUGGUGUGGAUGAGUGGCGAACGGGUGAGUAAUACGUGAGUAACCUGCCCUUGACUCUGGGAUAAGCCCGGGAAACUGGGUCUAAUACUGGAUGCUACAUGUCACCGCAUGGUGGUGUGUGGAAAGGGUUUACUGGUCUUGGAUGGGCUCACGGCCUAUCAGCUUGUUGGUGAGGUAAUGGCUCACCAAGGCGACGACGGGUAGCCGGCCUGAGAGGGUGACCGGCCACACUGGGACUGAGACACGGCCCAGACUCCUACGGGAGGCAGCAGUGGGGAAUAUUGCACAAGGGGCGAAAGCCUGAUGCAGCGACGCCGCGGGAGGGAUGACGGCCUUCGGGUUGUAAACCUCUUUCAGCAGGGAAGAAGCCACAAGUGACGGUACCUGCAGAAGAAGCGCCGGCUAACUACGUG
rnacentral:rRNA from 1 species